UAGAUCUUUGACUCUGGCAGUCUCCAGG
rnacentral:miRNA from 1 species